GACGAACGCUGGCGGCGUGCUUAACACAUGCAAGUCGAACGAUGAAGCUGGAGCUUGCUCUGGUGGAUUAGUGGCGAACGGGUGAGUAACACGUGAGUAACCUGCCCUGAACUCUGGGAUAAGCGCUGGAAACGGCGUCUAAUACCGGAUAGGACCUUGCACCGCAUGGUGUGGGGUGGAAAGUUUUUCGGUUUGGGAUGGACUCGCGGCCUAUCAGCUUGUUGGUGAGGUAAUGGCUCACCAAGGCGUCGACGGGUAGCCGGCCUGAGAGGGUGACCGGCCACACUGGGACUGAGACACGGCCCAGACUCGUACGGGAGGCAGCAGUGGGGAAUAUUGCACAAUGGGCGAAAGCCUGAUGCAGCAACGCCGCGUGCGGGAUGACGGCCUUCGGGUUGUAAACCGCUUUUAGUAAGGAAGAAGCCUUCGGGUGACGGUACUUGCAGAAAAAGGACCGGCUAACUACGUGCCAGCCGCCGCCGUAACAC
rnacentral:rRNA from 1 species